rnacentral:rRNA from 1 species
UACGUAGGGUGCAAGCGUAAUCGGAAUUACUGGGCGUAAAGCGUGCGCAGGCGGUUAUAUAAGACAGUUGUGAAAUCCCCGGGCUCAACCUGGGAACUGCAUCUGUGACUGUAUAGCUAGAGUACGGUAGAGGGGGAUGGAAUUCCGCGUGUAGCAGUGAAAUGCGUAGAUAUGCGGAGGAACACCGAUGGCGAAGGCAAUCCCCUGGACCUG